rnacentral:rRNA from 1 species
GAUGAACGCUGGCGGCGUGCCUAAUACAUGCAAGUCGAGCGAACAGAUGAGGAGCUUGCUCCUCUGACGUUAGCGGCGGACGGGUGAGUAACACGUGGAUAACCUACCUAUAAGACUGGGAUAACUUCGGGAAACCGGAGCUAAUACCGGAUAAUAUAUUGAACCGCAUGGUUCAAUAGUGAAAGACGGUUUUGCUGUCACUUAUAGAUGGAUCCGAGCCGCAUUAGCUAGUUGGUAAGGUAACGGCUUACCAAGGCAACGAUGCGUAGCCGACCUGAGAGGGUGAUCGGCCACACUGGAACUGAGACACGGUCCAGACUCCUACGGGAGGCAGCAGUAGGGAAUCUUCCGCAAAGGGCGAAAGCCUGACGGAGCAACGCCGCGUGAGUGAUGAAGGUCUUCGGAUCGUAAAACUCUGUUAUUAGGGAAGAACAAAUGUGUAAGUAACUAUGCACGUCUUGACGGUACCUAAUCAGAAAGCCACGGCUAACUACGUG